rnacentral:rRNA from 1 species
GACAGAGGGUGCAAACGUUGUUCGGAAUUACUGGGCGUAAAGCGCGUGUAGGCGGCAACGCAAGUCGGAUGUGAAAUCCCAUGGCUCAACCAUGGAAGUGCACCCGAAACUGCGUAGCUAGAGUCUCGGAGAGGAAGGUGGAAUGCUUGGUGUAGAGGUGAAAUUCGUAGAUAUCAAGCGGAACACCGGUGGCGAAGGCGGCCUUCUGGACGAUGACUGACGCUGAGGCGCGAAAGCCAGGGGAGCAAACGGG